UACGUAGGGUGCGAGCGUUGUCCGGAAUUAUUGGGCGUAAAGAGCUUGUAGGCGGUUUGUCGCGUCUGCCGUGAAAAUUCGAGGCUCAACCUCGAACUUGCGGUGGGUACGGGCAGACUAGAGUGUGGUAGGGGAGACUGGAAUUCCUAGUGUAGCGGUGAAAUGCGCAGAUAUCAGGAGGAACACCGAUGGCGAAGGCAGGUCUCUGGGCCACUACUGACGCUGAGAAGCGAAAGCAUGGGGAGCGAACAGG
rnacentral:rRNA from 1 species